UUACGGCCAUAUCAGUUUGAAACACCUGUUCUCGUACGAUCUCUGAAGUUAAGCAAUGUCGAGCCUAUUCAGUAACUAGGUAAGGGACCGCUUGGGAAUACCAGU